rnacentral:rRNA from 1 species
GUGCAGCAGUCGAGAAUCCUUCGCAAUGCGGGAAACCGCGACGAGGGGACUCCCAGUGCCUACGCUCAGCGUAGGCUGUUCCCGAGCCUAGAAAGCUCGGGGAGUAAGGGCUGGGUAAGACGGGUGCCAGCCGCCGCGGUAAUACCCGCAGCCCGAGUGGUGGCCACUAUUAUUGGGCCUAAAGCGUCCGUAGCCGGCCCGGUAAAUGCCUGGGUAAAUCGUGAGGCCUAACCUCACGAAUUCCGGGUAGACUGCCGGGCUAGGGACCGGAGGAGGGAGAGGGGUACUCCAGGGGUAGGGGUGAAAUCCUGUAAUCCCUGGAGGACCACCGGUGGCGAAGGCGCUCUCCUAGGACGGGUCCGACGGUGAGGGACGAAAGCCAGGGGAGCGAACCGGAUUAGAUACCCGUGUAGU